GAUGAACGCUGGCGGCGUGCCUAAUACAUGCGAGUCGAGCGAACAGACGAGGAGCUUGCUCCUCUGACGUUAGCGGCGGACGGGUGAGUAACACGUGGAUAACCUACCUAUAAGACUGGGAUAACUUCGGGAAACCGGAGCUAAUACCGGAUAAUAUAUUGAACCGCAUGGUUCAAUAGUGAAAGACGGUUUUGCUGUCACUUAUAGAUGGAUCCGCGCCGCAUUAGCUAGUUGGUAAGGUAACGGCUUACCAAGGCAACGAUGCGUAGCCGACCUGAGAGGGUGAUCGGCCACACUGGAACUGAGACACGGUCCAGACUCCUACGGGAGGCAGCAGUAGGGAAUCUUCCGCAAUGGGCGAAAGCCUGACGGAGCAACGCUGCGUGAGUGAUGAAGGUCUUCGGAUCGUAAAACUCUGUUAUUAGGGAAGAACAAAUGUGUAAGUAACUAUGCACGUCUUGACGGUACCUAAUCAGAAAGCCACGGCUAACUACGUG
rnacentral:rRNA from 1 species